GAUGAACGCUGGCGGCGUGCUUAACACAUGCAAGUCGAACGAAGCAUUUGCGACAGAUUUUUUCGGAAUGAGGUUGCUUAUGACUGAGUGGCGGACGGGUGAGUAACGCGUGGGUAACCUGCCUUGUACUGGGGGAUAGCAGCUGGAAACGGCUGGUAAUACCGCAUAAGCGCACAAUGUUGCAUGACAUGGUGUGAAAAACUCCGGUGGUAUAAGAUGGACCCGCGUCUGAUUAGCUAGUUGGUGAGAUAACAGCCCACCAAGGCGACGAUCAGUAGCCGACCUGAGAGGGUGACCGGCCACAUUGGGACUGAGACACGGCCCAGACUCCUACGGGAGGCAGCAGUGGGGAAUAUUGCACAAUGGAGGAAACUCUGAUGCAGCGACGCCGCGUGAGUGAAGAAGUAAUUCGUUAUGUAAAGCUCUAUCAGCAGGGAAGAUAGUGACGGUACCUGACUAAGAAGCUCCGGCUAAAUACGUG
rnacentral:rRNA from 1 species